ACCACUGCAGAAACCUCAACAUAUUUCAGGCACUCAUCCCGCUGAACCAGGAAGUAAGAAUGUCUCCAGCUUUGAUUUGUUCCCUUUGUGACCUCUAAUCUCUAUUUACUAGUCUGUCCCAUCCAAUUAGGGAUAAUAAAACACCAUCUCUUUGCAUGUCCUUGGACUGAAAUGGAUCCUCCCUUCCUCUUGCCAGUCCAUAAAACGGCACAGUGAGCAGAAAUAGCAUGGACACAAAAAUACUCCCUGUGUGCUGAUUUCAUGGGGGCCUGCAGAGAGGUCCAGGGAGCCAGCUUGCACAUUUCAGCUCACCAGAGUCCUGCAGUCCCUCCUCCUCGUUGCUGGUCACAGCCCUGGGAGCCUUUGUUGCCUCUUGGGUCUGGAAAGAUAAAGCUCCAGCUGACUGUCCUGUCAUCCCUGUGUGAAGCUGUCCUCUCAAGAGCUUUGCAAUGUUUUUCUCUUGCCAUCUUUUGUUUUCCAGGCCAGCUUCCUCAAAAAAUCAUUAUAAUGUUAGAACUUGCUAAAAUAAAAUUUG
rnacentral:lncRNA from 7 species